rnacentral:snRNA from 1 species
AUAUGUACCUAGCAGGGGAGAUUCCAUGAUCACAAAGAUAGUAUUUCCAGGGUGAGGCUCAUCAAUUGCACCCAGGAUGAACUGAUGACUGUGAUUUCCCAAAAUUCGGGAAACUGGUGGUAGUGAGGGCCUGUGUUUGUGCUUUCCCCUA